rfam:Oryza sativa (indica cultivar-group) chromosome 11, whole genome shotgun sequence.
UUUAAGUGUAACCAUAAGUUUUCGCGUCCAACUUUUACCGUUCGUCUUAUUUAUUUUUUUUAAAAUUAGUAUUUUUGUUGUUAUGAGAUGAUAAAACAUGAAUACUACUUUACUCGUGACUUAUGUUUUUAAUUUUUUUUAAAAAAAUUUCAAAUAAAACAGACGGUUAAAGUUGGGCGUAGAAAAUCAUGGCUGCACUUAAA